UACGUAGGGUGCAAGCGUUGUCCGGAAUUAUUGGGCGUAAAGAGCUCGUAGGCGGUCUGUCGCGUCUGCUGUGAAAACUCGGGGCUUAACCCCGGGCCUGCAGUGGGUACGGGCAGACUAGAGUGCGGUAGGGGAGACUGGAAUUCCUGGUGUAGCGGUGAAAUGCGCAGAUAUCAGGAGGAACACCGAUGGCGAAGUCAGGUCACUGGGCCGCAACUGACGCUGAGGAGCGAAAGCAUGGGGAGCGAACAGG
rnacentral:rRNA from 1 species